AUAAAAAUUAAUUAUUAAUUCAAUUUGAAUUGAUUUUGUAAUAAAAGCGUGCAUUUUCUGAGUUAAUCUAAAAUUCGUUCAAAACAAGCCAUAUUGGCAACCUUGUAUAACAGCAAGCGCUCUGUUUUACGGAAAAAAACAAAUCACAGCGGGUUUCUGCGGGUCAAGUAUAAAAGAAAAACAAAAAAACAUCGGCAAGCGGUGGUAACUUCUCAUUUUCAUAUGAUAUUUUGAGAAUUUUGAGAUAGCUGAGUCAUUAUGUUGAUGAGUAGUUGUAGCAUAAAUAUAGCCGUCCUUUUCUCAUAAUUCUGUUAACAAGUCAAAAAAUAAUAAAAUGUUCGACACGUCUUGUGUUUGUAUGCGUAUCUAUAAAUUUUGGCGUACUCUUUUAUUUUGUUUUUCACUUUUAUUUUGUUUUUCACUUCGAACUGAUUGUAGCUGUCUUAAAAAUUUCGGACGAAUAAAAGCCCUAAAAUUGUAAAUUGAAAAAUAUUGUAAGCGUAUGGCAACUCUUGAUAUGAGCGAAACGGGUGAGAAAGGGUAGUAGAGUAACUGAAGGCGUACAAUACAGUCGGUGAAACUUGUAUUUUUGUAAUAUUGGUUAAUUAAAUGAAUAAAGUGAAUUAAAUGAAUAAAUAACUGAAUUGUUAGAUAUAAAUUUUGUGUGUGUAUCUUCUUAUUUCACGGCCAACCUGACAUUUCAGAAGUAAAAUCUGCCACGCAGACGUAUGCUAAGCUUUGUUGUUGGCGUUCUAAGAACUUCGCAAAUAAACGAAAACGAAUAGAAACAUCAAGUAACGAAAUAACAUCAACGAGUGAAGUAUUGUAGUCAAGCAAAAAAAAAAAAGAAACGAAGUUACAGCGAAUUCUUAUUGUUACGAAAUUGAAAGCAAAAAUGCAAUAAGAAAAUCAAAAUGCCGGUUGUAAAGAUAAAUACAUUAAAAUUAACAGACUUAAAAGAAAUUCUAAGCGAAAGAGGGCUUUCUACAGAAGGUUUUAAAAAUAAAUUGGUGUUACGAUUAAGUGAAGCUGUCGGUUCGGACGGUAUCGAAAUAGCCAACGUAAAUUUACAAGCCCAGAUAACUGAACUGCGUGAUAUGUUUAGUUCUGUUUUACAAAUGUUGCAAACUAAUAAUAAUGUCAGUGAACUGAACGAGCGUGGGGGGCAAGAGCGUAUAAGCACUCCAGCUGACAGUUCGCCUACAAUUCAUGGACGUAGUAACUAUUCCGUGAAGGAAAUCGCUGAAACUAUUCCGGACUUCGAUCCAACAAACGAUUCAUCUAUAUCAGUUGAACAGUUCGUAGAUCGUGUAAGUAGUGCUAUUGAAGCCUAUCAAUGGGAAGAAAAAUGUGGUUUACUAGCGGUGUAUAGUCCACUUAAAGGAGCCGCAAAGCUCUGGGUAAAUUCCACGGAAAAUAAGUAUAUCGAAAUCGUUAUGUGAAGAAUUCAGUUGUCGGCCAGAUGGAGCUGAUAUAUAUUGUAAAAUGUCUCAAACUGUGCGUAAAAUUAACGAGAGUCUACUAGACUAUUGUUUUAGAAUUGGGGCUUUAGGUAAAAGAUUUGGGUUAAGUGAAACGGCUGUAGUGAAGUGCGCAAGAGAUGGACUUAUGCAGCGUGAACUGCAGACUGCUAUUGCAACAAAUCGGUACCGGUUCAAUGCGCGAGCUACGACAAACAAUAAUUGAUUACUCUAAAAAUUUGCCGGUACGUACAUUUGAACCAGAAAAAACCAAUCGCGAAUAUUGAAAUUAAUUCUAGUGAGAAGCUUGACAGUGAGAGGCAAAUUAUUUGUUAUAAUUGUCAACAAAAGGGGCACAUAUCGUCGAAGUGUCCUCAACCACAUGCGUUGACUGUCAAAAAAAUGCAUCCUAAAGGUGUAGCUGAAAAUUGUGGAAAGAAAAACCCAAUUACGCGUUCUACAAAAAGAAAGUAAUCGCUGAUAUGUUAAAAGAACUACUUGACAAUGACAUUAUAUGUAAAUCAGAGUCCGAAUAUGCUAGUCCUAUACUUUUGGUUAAAAAGAAAAACGGUGGCGAAGGGUUGCGUGUGGAUUUUCGAAGGUUAAAUCAACAAAUGCGGAAAGAAAUAUUUCCAUCGCCAAAUAUAGAAGAAGAACUACAGCGUGCUAAAAGUUUUAAAUAUUUUUCGGUACUAGAUCUUAACAGUGGCUACUAUCAAAUUCCAAUCGAGGAAAGCAGCCGAAAGUAUACCGCGUUUAUUACGACUGAGGGUUUAUAUGGGUUUAAGCGCAUGCCGUUUGGGCUUAAAAAUGCCCCGGCCGUUUUUCAACGUCUCAUCGUCAAAAUUAAAGAUAGUGUGAAACCAAACGAUAUGACCGGUAAUUACUGCUUAUAAUGUCGAGAAAGAACAUCAAGUACAUACGGACGCAAGUACAAUCGGCUUAGCAGGCGCGUUAAUGCAAAAAGAAGGUGACUGGAAACCAGUUGCUUAUUACAGUCGUGCAACUACAGACAAUAAAAAUUAAUUUCAUAGCUACGAGCUUGAAGCUCUAGCUGUGGUUGAAUCAAUUGAACGGUUGCAAAUAUUAUAUUUAUGGCAAACGUGUAAAAGUCCUCACAGACUGUAACGCAUUAAAACAGUUAUGAACAAACGUGAGCUUGUGCAUCGUAUAGCUAGGUGGUGGCUCCGUGUUCAAGAGUACCACCUUGAAAUCGAACAUCGUGCUGGUCUGCGAAUGGCUCACGUUGACGCACUAAGUCGUGCUCCUGUUGAGGGGACGCGUGAAUUAGAAAAGGCUUCUCUACGGAUCGACAAAAUUCAAGUCAAUACCGAUGAUUGGUUAUUCGGUAUACAACUCCAGAAUAAUUCAACCAAAGAAUUGGUCAACAAACUACAAACAGGUGAUACUGCGAUAAAAAGAACAAGAAAAUAUUUAUCUAACAGUAUACCUGCUACAUAUUAUGCUAAAAGAUAUAUAAGCAGCGACAUCACUAUCAACAGCAUAAAGAUCAGCGGAAAGCACAACGGACGGCCAAAAUGUAUGAGUACUUAUUAAACAUAUAACUACUUUUUUUUGGCAAAACAGGCAAGUAAAAAAUUAUAGCUUGAGCAGCAAUUCUACGAACAGCGGCGCCAAAUCUUUUCAAAAACAAUCCUCUUUCGACCUACUCUCAAGGCCACAAGUUUUAAUUAAAUCACAAGUCAACAGCCGAAUAAUCUUCUAUGCACAGAUCAUUUACUUUGUAAAAACAACGAUUUUUAUUAAAUCGGCGAAGGACCUGCAACGAGCAAUGUAAGAGUUGGAAAUAAUAUAAUCGAAUGCUAUAUUCGUGGAUCUCGGCUUGGAGUGUGGUUUAUAUCACACAAACAACAUUUUAUCGACACCAUCAUACGUUUCUUCUCAUCGUCUAAUCGACUUGGUUUACAUAAAGACAAGGAAAGUAAUGAAAGUGAAAGGAAAAAAAAACAAAUAACUUGAAAGGAAUUACGAUAUAUAAUAUAAUAUAUAAGUAAUAUAGCAAUAACGAGUAGUGUCCUGUUAUUCUAAAUUAUUUAAGUAUUACAAAAAUAUUUGUUAUUUAUUUCUAUUUAACCACUGAUAUUCAGUGAGCCUCAACACUUCUUGGAACAACGUUUUAGCUUUCUCCAAAUAUCAACAUGAGUUUGACGGUAUUAUUUGAACUGAUUGAUUUAUUAAGUGAAAUCUGGUUGGAUGCUAUAAUGCAAGUUAAAAAUAGCUUUCCCAUCAAUUUUAGAUUUUGGCUCUGUGCUUGUUAACACAUUGGACUUUCCAAUCUUUCUUCCAACAAGUGCGCGAAAUGAUAGAUUUUCAUUGGCGGAGUAACUUUGCAUGCUAUGAAGUAUUUCAUCCUCUGAGAAGUGUUUCUUUUUGUGAGAAGUAUUUUUUUUUCUUAAGGCAGCCAUACACCACAUACAAGUGUUUUCGAUCGGUAUGUGUGCGGAUGAGAUUUACUUGUGUAUAGGAUUGGCGAAAAUGUUCGAUAUUUUGCGAUCGGUGUGCACCCAUGAUUGUUAUAUGUGGUGCCGUGUGUACACAGAAACACAUUUUAUUCGUGUCAUCGAACAGUAAACAUCGCGGAAGAACACGGCAAGCGUGAAUAUAUAGUAAAGUAAGCGAGAAGUGCCAGUUACUCUUGAAUGAAUGAACGUAAAAUGAAUUGGUAUGUCGUGUGUGGUGAAAAGAUUUCAUACCAAUCGAAAACAAUUGUAUGUCGUGUAUGGAGUAGUAGGGGAAUAUUAUUUCGGCACCUUAAAUGGAUUAGAGCGUUUAUACUUAUUACGCCUUUACAUGGCAGGAAACUUGUUAUCCCACUAAUUUUUUUCCUCAGUUUAACGUUACUUUAUCACCAGCCAUCUAACUUAGUAUUUAUAUAGUCAACACUAAUUAUUUUUUUUGCACUCCUGCCCUCUGAGAACACUCAACAGAAAUUCGGUAUAUGGUUACUGCAGACGAAACUUUUAGCUUUCGGUUGUUAUGCUCUCUAUAAUGCUAGCGUCAUUGUUAGUUGUUUGAGCGAUCCAUGUUUUCGCUUUUGUAUUUAGGUUUCCCCCUAUGAGUACCCUUUUGUGUAUUGUCUGAUGCUGGUGAAUAAUUUAUCAGCUUCGCUUCUGAUCUUUGUAGUUGUUGCGUAGAGCGGACAGUAUACGUUGAUAAUUGAUAUUUCUUUUAAAUUAAGUAUUGGGUUGAUUGAUUGUUUGCAAUAUUUGAUGCUAAUUUGAAGAUUGAGAAUUUAAUGGAAUUUUCAAUAUGAACUCGCACUGCGCCGGAUCCGUCAUGACUAUUUGCAAAAGUAUAGCUUUAGUUUUGAAGGCUUGUUUUUUGGUGCUUUUUAGUCAUGUUUCUGAUAGAAUAGCAAUAUCUGUAUCAUUGUUGUGCAUAAAAAUUUCUAAUAGUUCCUUAUAUCCUUGCUUCCUUAUUAUAACAUUUAUAUUGUUGCUAAUUAAUUUUCAAUAAUCCUGCAUUGACUGUCAUUUGUUGUAAUGUAUUUUGCAUAACUACUAAUGCUUCGUAUAAAUAUUUAUUAUUAUUAUCUGUGGUGCCUUGCGUUAAGCAAUUGCAAUAGUUUGAUUUAUUUUCAUUGUGCAAUCGUCUUGUUUUUGUACGAAUCUUUCCAAGCUGGUUAGGUAGGCCAAGACAUAUUUUGAUUAAAUCACCAAGAAGUCGAUGCAACAACGUAACGAAACGCAUGAACUUCGAAAUGUCUGAUCUGCAUUCUCGUCGUAGUUUAAGAUCUCAAGUCUGUUGCCAAAAAUACUGCUACAAUUUUGCCUUUUGCUUUCAUUGGGGUUAGGUUAUCCAAAGUCAUGACAAGCUUAUGUUAAGAAUACAACUAAAUGCAUGUGUCUCGAAAUUCAUUAAUUUAUACUAAAUACACAAUUUAUAUUAACCACGGAACACUAUUCACAUCAAGUAAAGUUAGGUGAGAAUCUUUCUGUUUUUAUUAAUUACGCUUGUACCUGGACAUUGAAUGCUGACAACAGUAUUGUCUUUAGCCAGGUAAAACUCAGGGUCGUUCCUAUAAAAACACGCGUCUGCAGCGGAGCUAUUGGAGUUUUAGUCACCUCUAACCCGCAGUCGUUGCUUGAAUAUUUAUAAAAUAACUCCCCUCCUCCUUUGUAUUAAAAUGUCGUUGUGUGAAUGGAAUGUCCAACUAGCACUGCUGAUUGACGUUUAUGAGUUGAUUCGAUCUUGUUUCCUCCGUAUUGUUGCAUUCACCUAAAGAUAAAUCAUGCUUUCAUUGGUGAAAAAUGAAAGCAUUUAGUGACUUCGAAGCAAUACUUUACCCUUGAUUGUGGAAUGGCCAUCGCAUUGGCGGAAGCUAAAGUUAAGAAACUCCUUCAUUUCCUUUGAUAUUCAACUCCUCUAAUCGCCUCAUAAAUUUGAAGCGAUCGUUCUUCAAAAAUUCUGACAAUUUCGCCCCUUCUAUUUUUAUUUAAUGAAAAAAAUUCGUAAGGUCGAUUACAUAAACUUGGUUUCCUCGAACAAAUGAUCGAUCAAUAGAUAAUGAGGCUAAAUUCAAAAUCUGUAUUGUAUAAUUAUUCAUCGAAUAUACUACUAACUGAUUGAGCUAUCCACAAGACAGCACACGCUAAAUGCAUGUGUCUCGAAGUUCAUUAAUUUAUACUAAAUGCACAAUUUAUAUUAACCACGGAACACUAUUCACAUCAGCUAAUAUUAGGUGAGAAUCCUUCUGUUUUUAUUAAAUACGCCUGUACCUGGACAUUGAAUGCUGACAACGGUGUUGUCUUUAGCCAGAUAAAACUCAGGGUCGUUCAUACAAAUCCACCCGUCUGCUGCGGUGCUAUUGGAGUUUUAGUCACCUCUAUCCCCCAGUCGUUGCUUGAAUAUUUAUAAAAUAACUCCCCUCCUCCUUUGUAUUCAAAUGUCGUUGUGUGAAUGGAAGUUCAACUAGCCCUGCUGAUUGACGUUUAUGAGUUGAUUCGAUCUUGUUUCAUUCAUUUCAUUGGUGAAAAAUGAAAGCAUUUAGUGACUUCGAAGCAAUACUUUACCCUUGAUUGUGGAAUGGCCAUCGCAUUGGCGGAAGCUAAAGUUAAGAAACUCCUUCCUUUUCCUUUGAUAUUGAACUCAUCUAAUCACCUCAUAAAUUUGAAGCGAUCGUUCUUCAAAAAUUCUGACAAUUUCGCCCCUUUUAUUUUUAUUUAAUGAAAUAUGCCAGCGUUUAACGAACAAGCCGCAGCGCCUGUAAUAAAGAAAAUAAAAUGUCUUUAUUCUCGAAGUUUCGAAAGUGAUCUACUUACGUACCUCGUGGAAAAUCCAAUUCAAUAUUUAAGAUGACAGCAGUCAAAAUAUAUCCACACAUGUCGGCAAACAAUGUUGCCUACAAACAUUAAAAUUUUUGUACGCAAACCUUGACCUCGGUACAUAACAAGGUGUUCAGACGCAACUAAAGUGGCGUAAACUUAUAUCGUUGUAUGAAGUUAAGACAGCUCAAAUACAUGCAUUUGCUUAAUUAUAUAAAUUAUCUUUUCUACUCAAUAAUUAAAACAUUUUCAUUCUGCGACUGAACUGCCAGUGGUGUGUGUAGCUCACAUCACUAGAAAGUUCAAUAUGAUCCCAUAAGGAAAUUUUUUUUUAAGAGAACAAUAAUAAUAUUAGGUUUGUUUCUGAUGCUUUCAAGUAAGAUAAGCAUAACCGCACUCAGGCUUAUUACAAUCUGUUUUCAAAAGAAUAUCGCAUCACAUUAGUGCACUUGUUGACAACUAGAACAUAACACUAAGAAGUUACGUUAAAUGCUCUCGAGAACGAACAUUCGAUUCAGGGCUUUUAGAGAUUGCAAUCAUUACAUGCUUUUAUUUUACUCUCGAUAACAUUACUUAUUCUCAAUAUUAGUUUAAAGAAAUAUAUUUUCACUAUGCCAAAGUGCAUGGUCUUUAUUUAUAAUCUUUAGACUAACUGGUUUACAUUAAUCUUAGUGCUCUUAUACUAUUGAGCUGUACUAAACAGUUCUCUGUUUACUAACAGAUAAAGCUAUUCGUUUUUACUGUUAUAUUUGGGUUUGCUGUAUAUGAUAGAGCAUGUCAAAACAAGUUCUUUUGUUUUGAUGUUGUUUACAUGCAAACGCUUAUCAUAGUGUAUGAGACCUGAAACGAGGGUAGGUCGUUAACUCAUGCCAAUUAUCGAAGCACGCCAAAUAGUCACGUUCUAGUAUAGCCUUCACAGAGCGCGGCGAUUCACUAUUAACACGCAUCCGUCCUUAAGAAAAAAAACUUCAAUUUCUCCUGCAUUGGGCUCAAAUUCCCUGCCUUCGUCGUCUGUUUGCAGCAAAUCUCUACAAUAUUCCUCUUCGUUUUCGUCUCCUCUCCACAUAAUACUCAUGUUUUUCUGAUUUUUAUUGUAGUUUUAUAAUUUACGGAAUACACUGUUAUCUAUCUCUUUCAUACACAAAAUUGAAGAAUGGAACCACCGAAAACCAGUUUUACUAUCCUUAGCAACAUCACAUCUAGCGUUGUGUCAAAUUGAAAAAGACAGAUUAAUUACAUUUCGUGUUGCCACGCCUCCAAGCAUCCUAGAUAAAAAACUCUUUUUGAUUUAUAAUUUUCGUAAAAAUUGGUUCAAUGAGCCAAAUUUCUAUUUAAAUAAUUUUGCAACUAAUGAACGAAAAAUCGAAAAAUCGAUAUGAAAAAUAUGUCAAAUUGACCCGAAGGACGGAUGCGUGUUAAUCUCCUCAAUCGACUCAAAACGGCGUCCUCGAAGUGGUCUCGUGAGUUUUUGGAAGAGCCAGAAGUCACAUGAUGCCAAGUCUGGCGAAUGCGGUGGAGUUUUCUGCGAAAUGGUCACGAAAUAUUAUAUAAGUGCUGUGUGCAUUAUCGUGAUGCAAAAGCCACGAAGGUCGUUUUAGUCGUUUAGUAAACACAAGCGUAACUAAAAUGCCAAUGAUGACAUUAACAUGAUUUCAUAGAUGUCAA